rnacentral:rRNA from 1 species
GACGUAGGGUGCGAGCGUUAAUCGGAAUUACUGGGCGUAAAGCGUGCGCAGGCGGUUUUGUAAGCCAGAUGUGAAAUCCCCGGGCUUAACCUGGGAAUGGCAUUUGGGACUGCAAGGCUUGAGUGCGGCAGAGGAGACUGGAAUUCCUGGUGUAGCAGUGAAAUGCGUAGAUAUCAGGAGGAACACCGAUGGCGAAGGCAGGUCUCUGGGCUGACACUGACGCUCAUGCACGAAAGCGUGGGGAGCAAACAGG